GGGACAGAGUGAGCCACACACACAAACAAGACAGACACAGUGGCAGUGUUUCCAUCAACAUAUUUUUAUGUGCAUUUUGAAGUAUCGCUUUAGAAAAGGUUGAUGGAAAUGGCAAAAUUCAAAACACUUCCACAGUUUUGCAAAAAAGUUUUUAUGCUUGCUUGAGGUGUUUUUUGCCUCUUUCAAAAAAUACUUAAUCCACUAAAUGUGAGAUGGGGACACUUGACUCACAUAACAAUGAUGAUUACGGGAGCGAUUCCUCUGUCAGACAACAAACACGACAGCAGAGGCGACACUACUCUGCUUGGUGAAACGCUAAACUGUGAACCGCUGUGAUCAGGUGUGGUGUUGUGGAUCACCUGACAGAGAACACCUCCCUUCUAUGAGACUUUUAAUUCACCACAGAGCUAUAAAGGAGCCACAAUAAUUGUUCUGCAUCGAUUUGUAAUACCUACAUCCUUUCACUGUUGGCGCUGUGCAGAGCUAGGAGGAGAUACAAGGAAGGUAUAGGAAAUACAGAGAAACACAAGGUCACAACCUGAGGAGCGUGAGGAGCAAGGGCUACACAUACAGCAUAUUUGCAUCCGACCCCAACGCCUCUUCAUCUGGCAGCUGAAUGAUGAGGUGACCUUCCCACCUGCAUCAGGACUGAAUAGAAAUCACCUGUCCGCUGCUUUGAAAUGACAGCUCACCUCUUCCAGGAACUUUUCAGCUCGCCCUCAGAGCUGCCUUCCUCCUGUCCUCGCACCAGAGCUCCCUGUCGUGCAAAAACGUCUGCAUUACACAUAAAUGUUGUUUUGUACUUGUGUAAUGAUGGGGAUCUCAGACAUAAUCAGUUGGUUUUGCUGCGGCAUUGAAGUCAGUGUGAAGUCACUCUGGAGAAGCAGCUAAGUGACUUAAAUGUAAAUUUAAUAUUGUAAUGUCACCCUGUAAUUUGUAUCAUAAUGGAUUUUGAAAGUUGUUGAAAGAUGUUGGCUUAAUUGUUUAAUAAAUUGAGCGUGGCCAUACAGAAUCACAACUUGGUUCUAACACUAAAUGAGAUUUUUUUCAGUUUUCAGUGAUAUAAUGGUGGCACUGACAGCAAUGUUUUCUACUGUCUGUAUCUUGACGCAUUCAUAAAUUAAACACCACUGUGAC